CCUACGGGUGAGCUGCAGUGGGGGAUAUUGCCCAAUGGGGGGAACCCUGAUGCAGCGACGCCGCGUGGGUGAAGAAGCGCCUCGGCGCGUAAAGCCCUGUCAGCAGGGAAGAAAAUGACGGUACCUGAAGAAGAAGCCCCGGCUAACUUAGUGCCAGCAGCCGCGGUAAUACGUAGGAGGCAAGCGGUAUCCGGUUUUACUGGGUGUAAAGGGGGGGCAGCCUGCGAUGCAAGCAAGGUGUGAAAGCACGGGGCCCAACCCCGGGACUGCCCUUGGCACUGCGUGGGUGGAGUGCAGGAGGGGCAGGCGGAAUUCCUGGUGUAGCAGUGAAAUGCGUAGAUAUCAGGAGGAACACCGGUGGCGAAGGCGGCCUGCUGGACAGUAACUGACGUUGAGGCUCGAAAGCGUGGGGAGCAAACAGGAUUAGAUACCCCAGUAGUC
rnacentral:rRNA from 1 species